GAAAUGCGAUACUUGGUGUGAAUUGCAGAAUCCCGUGAACCAUCGAGUCUUUGAACGCAAGUUGCGCCCGAAGCCAUCCGGCCGAGGGCACGUCACACACCGUUGCCCCCCCAAACCCCGUCGGGGAAGAAGGGGGGCGGAUGCUGGCCUCCCGUGAGCCUCGCCUCGCGGCUGGCCCAAAUGCGAGAUCUCUGCUGCGAGCGUCGCGGCGAUGGUGGUUGUCGAAUAACUCGGUGCCCCGUCGCGAACGCCCCCAGCGUGCUGUCUCGGAACGACCCCUGCGCGCGGCCUCGCGCCGCGCUUCCAACGCGACCCCAGGUCAGGCGGGGCUACCCGCUGAAUUUAA
rnacentral:misc_RNA from 1 species